rnacentral:rRNA from 1 species
AUUGAACGCUGGCGGCAGGCCUAACACAUGCAAGUCGAGCGGUAGAGAGGUGCUUGCACCUCUUGAGAGCGGCGGACGGGUGAGUAAUGCCUAGGAAUCUGCCUGGUAGUGGGGGAUAACGUUCGGAGACGGACGCUAAUACCGCAUACGUCCUACGGGAGAAAGCAGGGGACCUUCGGGCCUUGCGCUAUCAGAUGAGCCUAGGUCGGAUUAGCUAGUUGGUGAGGUAAUGGCUCACCAAGGCGACGAUCCGUAACUGGUCUGAGAGGAUGAGCAGUCACACUGGAACUGAGACACGGUCCAGACUCCUACGGGAGGCAGCAGUGGGGAAUAUUGGACAAUGGGCGAAAGCCUGAUCCAGCCAUGCCGCGUGUGUGAAGAAGGUCUUCGGAUUGUAAAGCACUAUAAGUUGGGAGGAAGGGUACUUACCUAAUACGUGAGUAUUUUGACGUUACCGACAGAAUAAGCACCGGCUAACUCUGUGCCAGCCGCCGCCGUAAGAC